rnacentral:tRNA from 1 species
GUGGAUAUAGCUCAGUGGUAGAGAACAUGCUUGGCAUGCACGAGGUCCUGGGUUCAUUCCCCACUAUCUCCA